GCCGUUCUCAGUUCGGAUCGGAGUCUGNAACCCGACUCCGUGAAGCUGGAUUCGCUAGUAAUCGCGCAUCAGCCAUGGCGCGGUGAAUACGUUCCCGGGCCUUGUACACACCGCCCGUCAAGCCAUGGAAGCCGGGGGCGCUUGAAGUGCGUUGCCGCAAGGCGCGCCCUAGAGCGAAACCGGUGACUGGGGCUAAGUCGUAACAAGGUAUC
rnacentral:rRNA from 1 species